AACCGACGAGGAACUCAGUGUGGAGAUCGACCAUAAAGUACCGCGUACCUUUCGUUUCCUUUCGUUGUUGUGCCCCCCCCCCUACCCCACACACUGCGCACAUACACAAACUUCACGCACACUCUUAGAGGCAUGACUGCAGCUGCCCCGUCGUCGCUCGUCAAGUACGAGACGCCGGUGCUGCUCUCUGAGGCGCUGCACAAGAAGUCCCUCGCCUCGAAGCGGCCGGUGGCGAACAAUGGCAAGCCGCAGCCACAGUCCGAGGACGUCCUCUUCAGCAUUCUGCCCCCCCGCGAGUUCGAGAAGGGCGGGCAGCGGUGGGUGCAGUACCCCUCCAGCACCCCCGCCACCCGGCUCGAUGUGAUCCGGCUACAGGAGCAGCUGGACACUUUGCUGGCAGACCGCCAGGCGCGCGAGACGGGUGUGUGCCCGAUUCGCGAAGAGCUCUACGGUCAGGUGUUCGAUGAGCUUAUUCGGCAAGUCACUAUCAGCUGCGCCGAGCGGGGGCUUCUGCUCCUGCGCGUGCGGGAUGAGAUUCGCAUGACGCUGGAUGCCUAUCGCUCUCUCUACGAGAGCAGCAUCGCCUUCGGUAUGCGUAAGGCACUGCACGCAGAGCAGGAGCACGUCGAGCUGGAGGCGCGCGUACGAGCGCUGGAGCGGGAAAAGGCAGACCUGCAGCGGCAGGUUGAAGAGUUGGUAGAGGAGUGCGCGCGAAUCGAGCAGGAUGAGUCGCAGCGGCAUCGGGAUGAGCAGAAAAAGCAUGAUGAGGAGGUUGCCUUCUUCCGCCGCACGUACGAGACGCUGACGGCCAACCUGCAGACUGUCGUGAACCCAACCAAGGCGUGAGGUUCGCAAUGUUGCUUGCGUAUGUGUGCUGCGUGGUGACGAAAGCUGAGAGGGUGGGAGAGGAAGUGAGCGCGACAUGCACGGGGUGGUUCUGCGCCUCAUCUUUCGUCCCGCGCCCUUCGCUCGCGCACUGCCCCCACCCCCUAAGCACCGCGCCUUUCGCCCAUCUGGUGCACUCGUCAGCUCGGCCUGCUCGUUGCCCUCACAUGUCGCUCUCCUUUCGGCGCUGCCCUUCGCCUCCUCUGCGCGUCAUAUUUCGUUUCCCAAUGUAUAG
rnacentral:misc_RNA from 1 species